GUACAUAGAUUAUGUUUGUUUGGAAUACAAUCAUUCCUAUUAUUGAAUUAUAUAUUUUUAUGCCUCUAUGCUUAAAGAGAUAAAAUAGAUAAGUAAAAUAUAAUGGUUGCAUUCAUUCUAGGGUUUUGCUUGUGUGCAUUCAACCGGGAAAUUUGAACCCCAAAUCAAAUUGAGUUUGGAACAAAUUUGGAAUUUAUGAUUAGAUUUGGAAUAGGAAUUCGAAUAGGAAAAGAAAAAGAAAAUGAAACCCUGCCCGGGCCAACAUCCUCAUAUUCAGCCCAUCAUCACUUACCCCUCGUGCGGCCCAAGAAACACCGCCAACGCGCCGACAUGUGGGUCCCAUUUUCCAUACGCUCGCGCCGCACCACCGCCAUGCGAGGCCCAUUGGCCGGCCACCCAGUCUCCGCGCGCAAGCUCGUGCUUGUGGAUCGUUUCUCUGCUUGGUGGGGCCCACUCACCAUCUCUUUCCCCUUCAUGCUGGCCGCGGAAUCGCUAGUAAAUCGAGCGGAAUCCGGAAACGACCUGGGGGAAAUCGGCCGGGGAUUAGUGCUAUUUUCGCGGGGUUGUUGGGAUUCGGCUUCGCCUUGUGGCUAUAUACCCGGGCCUCUCCCCAUCGAACAACCAGAAGAACACUUACGCCGGGAUCCAUGGUGGCAAACAGAGAUAAGAGAGAGAGUAGGCCGAGGGGGAAGGGGUAGUGAAGGUGCUCGGUGUUACCCGCUGGUGUCUCCAUCGACGAUCUGCUUCUGGGCAACCAAUCGCUGGCCGUAGCCUACCCGGUUGUGCAUGCUGAUGGAGCAGAAGCUGGUCGCCAGGCGCGGGACAUCGUACUCAUGGCGGCGGAGAACUUUGUCUGCCGUGCGAUGAUCGUCGUGCUUGGCUGCCACCUCACCAACAAGUACUCUUGGGGGUCGGGUCCCUCAGGAUGGCUCGUGAACGUAGCUCUGUCGCUGUGGGCGCGCCGACGUGCUCGUCGUCGAGGGCUGCGCGGGCACUGCUGUACCCACAGCCAGAGGAAGAAGACCAUCUCACAAUUGUGCGGAUGGGAUUGGAUACGGAGUUAACCCAAUGUGAACUGUCGAUCUCGUGAUCAACGAGCAGUGCAGGAUGGGGAGUCCAGAUCUAAUCAGAUUCGUUGAUAGUUGAUCUUUCGCCCUAGAUUUCUAGACACCCUUUCGUCGUGCCGUGUUUGCAAAAGAACCCCUGACUUUAUUCUGAACCAACCCAC
rnacentral:lncRNA from 1 species